rnacentral:rRNA from 1 species
GACAGAGGUGGCAAGCGUUGCUCGGAUUCACUGGGCUUAAAGGGCGCGUAGGCGGCUUUGUAAGUCCGAGGUGGAAUUCCACAGCUUAACUGUGGAACUGCCUUGGAAACUGCAAGGCUUGAGUCAGGUAGAGGGAGGCGGAAUUCUCGGUGUAGCGGUGAAAUGCGUAGAUAUCGGGAGGAACGCCGAAGGCGAAAGCGGGUUCCUGGGCCUAUACUGACGCUGAGACGCGAAAGCUAGGGGAGCAAACAGG